rnacentral:tRNA from 1 species
CAGUGCGUAGCUCAGAAGGCAGAGCGCAUCUUUCGGGAAGAUGAGGCCGCGCGUUCGACCCGCGCCGCGCUGACCA